rnacentral:rRNA from 1 species
AUUGAACGCUGGCGGCAUGCCUUACACAUGCAAGUCGAACGGCAGCACGGGAGCAAUCCUGGUGGCGAGUGGCGAACGGGUGAGUAAUAUAUCGGAACGUGCCCAGUCGUGGGGAUAACGUAGCGAAAGCUACGCUAAUACCGCAUACUAUCUAUGGAUGAAAGCGGGGGAUCGCAAGACCUCGCGCGAUUGGAGCGGCCGAUAUCAGAUUAGGUAGUUGGUGAGGUAAAGGCUCACCAAGCCGACGAUCUGUAGCUGGUCUGAGAGGACGACCAGCCACACUGGGACUGAGACACGGCCCAGACUCCUACGGGAGGCAGCAGUGGGGGAAUUUUUGGACAAUGGCGCAAGCCUGAUCCAGCAAUGCCGCGUGCAGGAUGAAGGCCUCGGUUGUAACGUAGCUUUAUUACUAGAAGAACAACGUACCGACCGUAC